rnacentral:rRNA from 1 species
GAUCAUGGCUCAGAUUGAACGCUGGCGGCAGGCCUAACACAUGCAAGUCGAGCGGUAGCACAGAGAGCUUGCUCUCGGGUGACGAGUCGGCGGACGGGUGAGUAAUGUCUGGGAAACUGCCUGAUGGAGGGGGAUAACUACUGGAAACGGUAGCUAAUACCGCAUAACGUCGCAAGACCAAAGUGGGGACCUUCGGCCGUCAUGCCAUCGAGAUGUCGCCAGAGUGGGAUUAG